rnacentral:rRNA from 1 species
GUCUACAGCCAUGCCACCCUGAAUGUACCCAAUCCUGUCUGAUCUUGGAAGUUAAGCAGGAUCAGGCCUGGUUAGUACUUGGAUGGGAGACUACCUAGGAAUACCAGGUGCUGCAGGUG